UUGAACGCUGGCGGCAUGCCUUACACAUGCAAGUCGAACGGUAACAGGUCUUCGGAUGCUGACGAGUGGCGAACGGGUGAGUAAUACAUCGGAACGUGCCCGAUCGUGGGGGAUAACGCAGCGAAAGCUGUGCUAAUACCGCAUACGAUCUACGGAUGAAAGCGGGGGAUCGCAAGACCUCGCGCGGACGGCGCGGCCGAUGGCAGAUUAGGUAGUUGGUGGGAUAAAAGCUUACCAAGCCGACGAUCUGUAGCUGGUCUGAGAGGACGACCAGCCACACUGGGACUGAGACACGGCCCAGACGCCUACGGGAGGCAGCAGUGGGGAAUUUUGGACAAUGGGCGAAAGCCUGAUCCAGCCAUGCCGCGUGCAGGAUGAAGGC
rnacentral:rRNA from 1 species